rnacentral:rRNA from 1 species
GAGCUUGCUCCCUGAUGUUAGCGGCGGACGGGUGAGUAACACGUGGGUAACCUGCCUGUAAGACUGGGAUAACUCCGGGAAACCGGGGCUAAUACCGGAUGGUUGUUUGAACCGCAUGGUUCAAACAUAAAAGGUGGCUUCGGCUACCACUUACAGAUGGACCCGCGGCGCAUUAGCUAGUUGGUGAGGUAACGGCUCACCAAGGCAACGAUGCGUAGCCGACCUGAGAGGGUGAUCGGCCACACUGGGACUGAGACACGGCCCAGACUCCUACGGGAGGCAGCAGUAGGGAAUCUUCCGCAAUGGACGAAAGUCUGACGGAGCAACGCCGCGUGAGUGAUGAAGGUUUUCGGAUCGUAAAGCUCUGUUGUUAGGGAAGAACAAGUACCGUUCGAAUAGGGCGGUACCUUGACGGUACCUAACCAGAAAGCCACGGCUAACUACGUGCCAGCAGCCGCGGUAAUACGUAGGUGGCAAGCGUUGUCCGGAAUUAUUGGGCGUAAAGGGCUCGCAGGCGGUUUCUUAAGUCUGAUGUGAAAGCCCCCGGCUCAACCGGGGAGGGUCAUUGGAAACUGGGGAACUUGAGUGCAGAAGAGGAGAGUGGAAUUCCACGUGUAGCGGUGAAAUGCGUAGAGAUGUGGAGGAACACCAGUGGCGAAGGCGACUCUCUGGUCUGUAACUGACGCUGAGGAGCGAAAGCGUGGGGAGCGAACAGGAUUAGAUACCCUGGUAGUCCACGCCGUAAACGAUGAGUGCUAAGUGUUAGG